UCGCGCCUUUUGCAUUUGAUGUGCAAUGUUGAUGUAGUGUAAUUAUUCGUGUUUUUCGUACAUAUUACGUAGAAUUUAACAAGGCAAGAUGAACAAGAAACCCUUUACAACACCUUCUGCUGCAAAAAAGGCCAAAUACCGAGAUGAAGAUGAGGACAAUUAUCCUGGUUCGUUUGAAGCUGAAUUGGCUAAUAUGGAUGAAGUGGAUGAUGAUGUGGGAGAUGUAUACCAAACUAAUGAGGAGGGUCCUGAACAAGAAAAUACAUUUUCAAAGUGGAAUAGACCUCCACCAUCACAAUUAAAUCCAAACGUAGAUGUCUUAAUUUUUCAACAAAUAGAAAUUGACCAUUAUUUAGGUGUACCCUUACCUGGAAUGCCGGGCAGUAAAAUAGCUCCUGUACCAAUAAUGAGAAUGUAUGGUGUUACAGAGCAGGGAAACUCUGUUUGUUGCCACAUCCAUGGGUUUUCUCCCUAUUUGUAUGUUUUAGCACCACCUAAAUUUAUGGAUCAUCAUUGCAAGCCAUUUAAGGAUGCUCUGGAUAAAGCUAUUUUGAAAGAUAUGAGGUCGAAUCCACAUAAUAUUCAGGAAGCUGUUUUAGCCAUUGAAAGAGUAUACAAACAGAACAUGUAUGGAUAUACAGGGAGUGAAAAAUCACUGUUUCUAAAAAUCACAGUAGCAGUGCCGAGAUUGAUUGCCGCAUGCAAGAGAUUACUCGAGAACGAAAUCAUUUUUCCUACUUUUAAUCACCAGUACAAGGCUUUUGAAAGCAAUAUUGAUUUUGAUAUUAGGUUUAUGGUCGACAGAUCAGUUGUUGGAUGUUCGUGGAUUGAAUUGCCAGCGAAAACUUGGAAAUUACGCCGCCAGUACGGCCACAUGUUACCAUUGACUACAAGAUGUCAAUUGGAAGUAGAUGUUGCAUGGGAUGGUUUUAUUAGUCAUCCACCAGAAGGAGAAUGGUCGAAACUUGCACCAUUUAGAAUACUUAGUUUCGAUAUUGAGUGCGCUGGACGCAAAGGUAUUUUUCCUGAACCGAAUCACGACCCUGUUAUACAAAUUGCUAACAUGGUAAUAAGACAAGGUGAAUCGGAACCAUUUUUACGGAACAUUUUCACACUUAAUACAUGUGCGCCUAUCAUUGGUUGUCAAGUUAUAAGUUCUGACAAAGAAAGCGUAAUGUUAGAGAAAUGGGCUGACUUCGUCAGACAGUCAGAUCCUGAUAUUUUUACAGGAUAUAACAUAAAUAAUUUCGACUUUCCUUAUUUAAUUAAUCGAGCAAAGCAUCUUAACGUAAAGAACUUUGAAUACCUUGGUCGAAUAAAGAAUAUCAAAUCUGUGAUUAAAACUCAAGUACUUCAGAGCAAGCAGAUGGGACGACGCGAGAAUAAAUUUGUCAAUUUUGAAGGAAGAGUUUCAUUCGAUCUAUUAUUGGUUUUGGUCAGAGAUUACAAAUUGAGGUCUUACACUUUGAACGCUGUCUCUUACCACUUUUUGCAAGAACAGAAAGAAGACGUUCACCACAGUAUUAUUACAGAUUUACAAAAUGGUGACGCACAGACGCGUCGAAGACUUGCUGUUUAUUGUUUGAAGGAUGCAUAUUUACCGCUCAGAUUGCUGGAUAAAUUAAUGUGUAUUAUCAUUUACAUGGAAAUGGCAAGAGUUACUGGAGUUUCUAUUUACAGUUUAUUAACUCGAGGACAACAGAUAAAAGUUAUUUCACAGCUUUUGAGAAAGACUCGAGAGAAAGAUUACUUGAUGCCAGUACAUCAUAGCCAAGCUAGCGACGAACAAUUCGAAGGCGCAACGGUUAUAGAACCAAAACGUGGAUAUUAUAGUGAUCCAAUUGCUACUUUGGAUUUCAGUUCCUUAUAUCCCAGUAUUAUUAUGGCACACAAUUUAUGUUAUACAACACUAUUGAAUCGUGAGAAAAAAGUUAAAUGUCAUAUCGAUGACGACGAUACAACUAGAACUCCGAAUAACUUUCUAUUCGUCAAAGCUAAUCUUAGAAAAGGAAUUCUUCCUGAAAUCUUAGAGAAUCUUCUAUCGGCUAGGAAAAUAGCAAAGGCUGAAUUGAAGAAAGAGACUGACCCAUUGAAGCAAAAAGUUUUGGAUGGUAGACAAUAUGCUUUAAAAGUAUCGGCCAAUUCUGUGUAUGGUUUCACUGGUGCGCAAAUGGGGAAAUUACCGUGCUUGGACAUAUCGGCGAGUGUAACUGCAUAUGGACGCACCAUGAUAGAACGAACGAAACAUGAAGUAGAAGAACAGUAUUGUGUUUCAAACGGAUACAAAAACGAUGCCGUGGUUAUAUACGGAGACACAGAUUCCGUUAUGGUUAAAUUCGGUGUUAAGACAAUCGAGGAAGCAAUGGAACUUGGGAGGGAAGCUGCAGAAUAUGUAACGUCAAAGUUUGUCAAGCCUAUAAAACUAGAAUUUGAGAAAGUGUAUUUCCCGUAUUUAUUAAUUAACAAAAAACGAUACGCUGGUUUGUACUUUACGCGUCCCGAGCAGUACGAUAAAAUGGAUUGCAAAGGUCUUGAAACCGUACGAAGAGACAACUGUCCUUUGGUAGCAAAUAUGAUGAAUACUUGUUUACAAAAGCUACUCAUCGACAGGAAUCCUAAUGAUGCCGUAAAUUAUGCGAAACAAAUUAUAAGCGAUCUUUUAUGUAAUCGUAUUGAUAUUUCUCAGUUGGUGAUUACAAAGGAAUUGACUAAGACUGAUUAUGCAGCAAAACAAGCGCAUGUUGAAUUAGCGGCGAAACUAAAAAAACGUGACGCUGGAGUUGCACCAAAACUCGGGGACCGAGUACCAUAUGUUUUCAUAAGAGCUACGAAGGGAACGCCAGCUUAUCAAAAAGCGGAGGAUCCAAUUUAUGUGUUAGAGAAUAAUAUUCCUAUAGACACGAAUUAUUAUUUAGAAAAUCAAUUGUCCAAGCCUCUUGUGCGUAUUUUCGAACCAAUUCUUGGCGAUAAAGCGGAAUCGCUUCUGCUGAAAGGGGAUCAUACACGCACGAAAUCCGUCGUUACGUCCAAAGUCAGUGCUCUUUCUGCCUUUACGCGUAAGAAGGAAGUGUGUUUAGGCUGUAAAGCUGUAUUGACACCGGAUAGAGAGAAGGUGGCUCUGUGUAAAUACUGCGAACCAAAGGAGGCAGAAUUUUUCCAGACUGAAUUAUAUGCCGGUAGAAAGUUGGAAGAAAAAUUUUGCAGGUUAUGGACAGAAUGUCAGAGAUGUCAAGGAAGCCUUCAUCAAGAAGUGAUUUGCACGAAUCGUGAUUGCCCAAUAUUCUAUAUGAGAAAGAAGGUGCAGAUGGAAUUAGACACUCAAAUGAAACGUAUUGAGAGAUUUGGUAUUCCAGAAUGGUAAAAUUCAAACAUUGAGACAUGUUAGUUGAAUGUGUAUAAUAUAAUUAUUAACGAAUACCGCGUUGGACAGCCAAUCCAUCGCCUGAUCGAGUCCUUCGUCUUUCGUCGCGGACGUUUUAAAUAUUUGAAACGUUCUGUUUUUGAGGGCAUCCAAUCCGAGUGCCUGAUGUACCUCCGCGACGCUUAAACAACCUGCC